rnacentral:rRNA from 1 species
UGGGGAAUUUUGGACAAUGGGCGAAAGCCUGAUCCAGCAAUGCCGCGUGUGUGAAGAAGGCCUUCGGGUUGUAAAGCACUUUUGUCCGGAAAGAAAUGGCUCUGGUUAAGUACCUGGGGUCGAUGACGGUACCGGAAGAAUAAGGACCGGCUAACUACGUGCCAGCAGCCGCGGUAAUACGUAGGGUCCAAGCGUUAAUCGGAAUUACUGGGCGUAAAGCGUGCGCAGGCGGUUGUGCAAGACCGAUGUGAAAUCCCCGAGCUUAACUUGGGAAUUGCAUUGGUGACUGCACGGCUAGAGUGUGUCAGAGGGGGGUAGAAUUCCACGUGUAGCAGUGAAAUGCGUAGAGAUGUGGAGGAAUACCGAUGGCGAAGGCAGCCCCCUGGGAUAACACUGACGCUCAUGCACGAAAGCGUGGGGAGCAAACAGGAUUAGAUACCCUGGUAGUCCACGCCCUAAACGAUGUCAACUAGUUGUUGGGGAUUCAUUUCCUUAGUAACGUAGCUAACGCGUGAAGUUGACCGCCUGGGGAGUACGGUCGCAAGAUUAAAAGCUC